rnacentral:rRNA from 1 species
UACGGAAGGCAGCAGUGGGGAAUAUUGCACAAUGGGCGCAAGCCUGAUGCAGCCAUGCCGCGUGUAUGAAGAAGGCCUUCGGGUUGUAAAGUACUUUCAGUCGUGAGGAAGGUGUUAAGGUUAAUAACCUUAGCAAUUGACGUUAGCGACAGAAGAAGCACCGGCUAACUCCGUGCCAGCAGCCGCGGUAAUACGGAGGGUGCGAGCGUUAAUCGGAAUUACUGGGCGUAAAGGGCACGCAGGCGGUUAAUUAAGUUGGAUGUGAAAUCCCCGGGCUUAACCUGGGAAUGGCAUUCAAGACUGGUUAGCUAGAGUCUUGUAGAGGGGGUAGAAUUCCAUGUGUAGCGGUGAAAUGCGUAGAGAUGUGGAGGAUACCGGUGGCGAAGGCGGCCCCUGGACAAAGGACUGACGCUCAUGUGCGAAAGCGUGGGGAGCAAACAGGGAUUAGAUACC